CUUCCAGACAGCACGCCUCCGACCGACAUCAACGCUGUUUACAGCAUUUUGAGUCUGCCCCAGGCUGCCUCUGCACAAAACCCAACGAGACGGCAAGCUGGAAACACCAAGGACAAUUCUGCC